rnacentral:lncRNA from 1 species
CAGCAAGACUCUGUCAAAAAAAAAAAAAAAAAAAAAAAAAACCUGAGUUGUAACAAUUCAGGGUGAUUAUAUGCAAGGCUCGCUUCUCCUGGAUUCCAGGAAGUGGGAAGCAAGUUAUUGCUAAAAGACAGAGGCCCCAAGAUCUCAAUAAAGCCAACAUGUGCAUUCCAGGUACCACACCUGACAUGUCCAUGCUGAGUGACCCCAAGAUCCCUGAGUCACCUUACAUAAUUCAACAGCCCUUACUCUUCAAGCAAGAUCCCAACAGCCACCAGACCUGGCAAACAUUUUAUUUUUCUUUCCUGAAGAAGCAUAGGAAAAGAUUUUUGGCCUAAGCUUUUAGAGUGGUCAGCUUCACUGUCGCCUAGAGCCAGCAUUGUGAACCUACUGUCCCUACUCAUAGCCAUGAUGCUCCUACUGAACCCCAUGUCCCUGAGGCCUCCUGUGACCAGAGCUAGAACUUUCUGAAUUGAGCUGCCAUUUUCCAAAUCUAUCAGGGCUUGCCAAAUCCCUACGCCUUCACCCACGCUGCACUUGAGCCCACAGUCUGCCUCUCUGGAAUACUACCGUCACUAGAGACAUUCUCUAAUGUCCAAUCAGAAAGUGACUCCUCUCCAUUUAUUCCUACAGUUCUUUAUGCCUGCAGUAACAAAAUAUUACCAGGCCAUACUAUAGGUUUUUGUUUUAUGGUCUCCUUUUUCUGAUAAGCCUGAGCAAGUCUGUGCUCAGGAACCAAGACUCACUUCCUUUUGUGCACCCAAAGGCUAUCACAGCACCUAGCAUGGAGUGGGUGCUCAAAUGCCAGUUGAAAGAACUGGUGAGUUUUAGGUGAAGGAUAUCAUGGUGUCCAGGGUGCUAUUCUCUCAACUUUUAUGUAGGCUUGGAAUUUUUCAAAGGUGAGUGUUGUAUGAAAGGAGAGACUUGUUAGCACUCCCCUUGACAAGGAUGGAAGAGGCCCUCAGGCCUGACAACUAACAUGAAGUUAACACAUUUCCACCUAUUUUGUGGCAUCUAAAGCAUCAUUUUUAAGCUGGAUGUGGUGGCUUAUGCCUGUAAUCCUAGCACUUUGGGAGACCAAGGUGGGAGGAUUGCUUGAGGCCAGGAGUGCAAGGCCAACCUGGCCAACAUGCUAAGAACCCAUCUCUCUCUCUCUCUUUUUUUGUUUGUUUCUUUGUUUGUUUUUUAAAAAGAAAAAAAGACAUAGAAAAAAGAUGAGAGGCUGAGCAUGGUGGCUCACAUCUGUAACUCCAGCACUUUGAGAGGCCGAGGUGGGAGCAUCACUUGAAGCCAGGAGUUCACAUCAGUCUGGGCAACAGAGGGAGACCCUGUCUCAGGAGAAAGAAAAGGAAAGAAAGAAAGAAAGAAAGAAAGAAAGAAAGAAAGAAAGAAAGAAAGAAAGAAAGAGAGAGAGAG